rnacentral:misc_RNA from 1 species
GUAAUACCUUAGUGUUGUGUGUUGUAAACAUAACUCUGAACAAAUGGCUUUAAUUGUUUCUUUUAGCUUAAGAUGAUUAAGCUUAAUGGAACAAUCCUUUAGUUUCUUAUUAGAAGUUUCAUUCUCAAAGAGAUGAGAAUAUGAGUGACUGGACUAUCUAGUACAAGUGCUACAAAUAUUAGUUCAUAGUCAAAGUUACUUUAUUGGACAUGAUCUAUCCG